rnacentral:hammerhead_ribozyme from 1 species
GCACUGCUGAUGAGACCCAAACAGGUUAAAACAGCUGUCCAGUGC